rnacentral:misc_RNA from 1 species
CCGAAGCUUCGGGACGGGAGGAAAUCCUUUUAUGGCGGUCCCGAGGCUUCGGGAGCCAUAAAAGAUUGAAAUGGAUUGCUUCGCUAGUU